rnacentral:rRNA from 1 species
GUAGGUGGCAAGCGUUGUCCGGAAUUAUUGGGCGUAAAGCGCGCGCAGGCGGUUCUUUAAGUCUGAUGUGAAAGCCCACGGGCUCAACCGUAGAGGGUCAUUGGAAACUGGAGAACUUGAGUACAGAAGAGGAAAGCGGAAUUCCACGUGUAGCGGUGAAAUGCGUAGAGAUGUGGAGGAACACCAGUGGCGAAGGCGGCUUUCUGGUCUGUAACUGACGCUGAGGCGCGAAAGCGUGGGGAGCAAACAGGAUUAGAUACCCUGGUAGUCCACGCCGUAAACGAUGAGUGCUAAGUGUUAGGGGGUUUCCGCCCCUUAGUGCUGCAGCUAACGCAUUAAGCACUCCGCCUGGGGAGUACGGCCGCAAAGGCUG